UUUCCGGUUUUGGCGGAAAAAUACGUUUUUUGGUUUUGGUGGGAAAAUGCAUUUUUCCGGUUUUGGUGGGAAAAUGUAUUUUUUCCCCGGUUUUGGCGGAAAAUAAUUUUUCGGUUUUGGCGGGAAAAUACGUUUUUUGGUUUUGACGGAAAAACACGUUUCUCGAUUUUGGCCGAAAUGUUAGGUUUUACUGGUUUGACCAAAAAAUGUGUGUUUUAUGGAAAUAUGCAUUUUACGGUUUUGAAGAAAAACGUAUUUUGCGGUUUUGGCGGAAAAAUGUAUUUUUUCAAUUUUUGUGGAAAAAUAUAUUUCUUGGUUUUGGCGAAAAAAUGUAUGUGCAAAAAAAAAAAUUUACGGUUUGAAAAUUAUAUUUUGACUUUAAAUGGUCAUUUUUGUCAUUUAUCAUUUUCGAGUGAACUAGAUGCACCAUCAAGACUCACCUUCAUUUAGGUGAGAAUUUGAGAUAAGUUUUUAAAAAUUCAGCUGAAUGAUCCAUCUAGAUAUAGCAUUAUAAUGCACAAAACGAACAAUACGUUUGUGGAGACUCAAGCCGAUGAUGGGUUCAGAAUUAAAUAUUUAUUAGAUAUAUAUUUGAGAAUUAAAUAUUUAUUAGAUAUGUAUUUGAAAUCGUAGAGAAUGUGUUUAAUGAAUCGGUUUGUCAAAGUGGUUGAGUGUCAGAAUAUUCACUUAUAAAACAAGGGUUUGAAUCCGGCUUUCAACAUAUUUUGACAAUUUUUUUUAAUAAAAAUUAUUUUAAUCCGUAAAAGACAGCUUUAACUUCCAUUAUGACACGUAAGUUACCGUUAAUGACAUGUCAUCGUCCAUAUAUGUUUGACUAACGGAAAAUAGAUCAAUGCAUGAUUUAGCUUAAUUUUAUUAGUUCAUGUAUAAAAUUUAAAAUAAAUUUACGUUGAUGUAUGUUUUAGCACAGAUCAUCAGUGUAUGUACUGAUCGAGACCGCAUCCUUCUGUUGAUUUAUGAAUUUUCCGAUUUCCUAUACCAGUUUGUAUUGAACUAGAAAAAUGGUCUGUAAUGCAAAUGACUAACUUCUGUAACAUUAUGAAAUAUCCGUUUUAAAAACUAAAAAAUAAUUAAAAGCUACAUUUUAUGUUAGUUUUUAUUCUCCACCAGAAACACCAGAUGUCUCUACCCUCAGCCUUCACCACUUUAUUUAUUAGUUUGUAUUCUCCUCCAGAACACCAGAUUUUGUACGAUGAGCUUUCCAGUAAUCUAUUUGUGCAAAACAAUAAACAUCAACUCGUUUGAAAGGAGGGACAUAUAAGAAACUGAUAUAUGGUGUAAAUUUUUUUUCCUUUAUAUAUCAUCUCUUAGAAUGGCUUUGAGAUCCGAAAUCACAGGAGCUGAGGCUACGUGAAUGCAGCUACAAAACACUGAGCACUUUAUGUCAUGCUAGACACAACUCUUGACUAUCUUAAGACCAAACCAUAUCAAAUGUCUUAAACCUCAUGGUUACAGAUUUACACUACACACAAUGCUAUUAACAGGUAAGGAUUUAGUAUCAAAAGAGCUUCCAAUAUAGAGAAUGAUCCGUCGUUUGCAAGGAUCAAGAAAACAAAUUACAUGAGCGUGAAAGGGAAGGCAUAUACAUACAUUAUUGUCGGGCCAGAGUUUAUAGAUCCACCUGAACAGCCAAAAUUUGUUACUUGAUCAUUGUCCAUUUCAAAUAGCCAUGUUUUUCAACUUUCCACAAAAGAGAAUGAUGUAAUCUAUUUUUCUCAAAUGGGAUGAUGAAAACGACGAAAGUUACAAAAUUUAAAGCCUAAUUAUUGUCUUAAUUACAUAAGAAAUAAAUAUGAAUUAUCUAUACUAUACUAAAAGGGGGAUAUACUCCACUCUAAAGCUGUCCACGUCAGAUAAAAAAAUCAUCCAAUCAUAUUAUAAGGUUUUGCCACGUAAGCUAUUGGGUUUUGCGUUUUCUAAAAAUCCGUCUCGACCUUGCCCUUCGCCGACUUGACAUGUUCAUCUACUUUGAUCUCUUCGUUUUCCCCAAUCUGAAAAAGAAACAUAUGUUCUCUUAUUCACCAGAGGCUUUAAAUUAUGCACUUCUAACCCUUUCUUCUUGCCUUUUCAGUUCUUCUUCUCCAUCUCUCCUUCCUCCUCCUCUUCCAAUCUACAAAUGUUGUUACAACAGAGCAUCGAUGAUCAGGUUACCCAUAUAUGCUCACUUAGGAUUGAAUCAGCUCCAUGAUGUCGUCAACGUUUAUAUGAAGGGGUUUGACAUCGAUCCAAGCAACCGUUACAAUCAUGUUUGGUAGACGCUCAAGGUUUUGCGUCGACUCCACACGCCGUCUCGGAUCCAUUUGGAUAGGCUUUCCAAUGGCGGAGAUGUCGAAGAACCUAAUGACAGAUUCUUCAGCGAGAGUACUCAGGUAGGUAAGCAGCGUGGAUCAGGAGGAUACGAUGGUUGUGCCUCUAAGGAAAGACCUGAGGCAAAGAAGAAACAAAAACUGGAGCAUGAACCUGAGCCAGAGUGUGGAGAAGAAAAGUAGAACAAGAAGAUGAAGCAGAAAGCUUUAAAGGAGAUAUAGAUGGGGAAUGCGGCAUACAAGGCCUUCGAAACACUAUCAAUAAUUAGUCACAAUCACGAAAAUUGAUGAUGAAGAUAUCUCUUUAUCACAAAUCGUACUGCUGUUUAUCUGGAGAUGACAAAGGUAUAGUCUUUAUGUGUAUGUGUAGUUUUUAUGAAUAAUAGUCUACAGUUUGUAUGAUUUGCUUGGUACUUGGUUGAGUAUAAAUGUGAUCAUGUUUGAUUCAGUAUUAUGAGUGCAUUAAUGUAUUAGUCCCGAAUGAUUGAAGAAGGAGGACAAGUUCAUCGAGCUUGAUUGUGUAUAUUUUCCAAGGGAUACAACAGAAAAGGAGCAUGAGUGACAAUGCAAUGGAGACAUACCAAGAGGGUGUCUAACAUGAUCCUAAAAAUCAGGAGUCUCUCGACGGUCUUAGAAGUUAUGCUACAUGUGUAAAGAUAAAAUCUCACUCAGCCUCCGAAGCUACAGCAGAAGCGAGUUCAACCACCCAAGGAAGAACUCCAGCGCCCCAAUUGAGUCCGGAAGAGGCUGGACGAAGAGCAAGGACCCAGCUUUCCCACGGUGAAUCUGAAGGAAACGGUGCAAGGGGAAAAAAAGGUUAAGAGAUGAAAAAACAGAAGGUGAAGCUGAACAUGAAAUUUGCAAAGAAAAUGGGACCGAAGAUUUUACAUGAGUUAGAAGAAGGAAGGUUAUGAGGGUAUCUGCGAAACGCUAUCAGCUUUGCCUUCUACUGCUCAUCAUGAUGCCUAGGUACUAAUCUCAUGGUAAAGUUUAUGUCUUUUGGUUUCCUGAUGAUUUGUCUUAUAAACUUUUAUGCAAGUAGUAUUAGAAAUAAAAAGGAAACAAUAUCAUUAAUACUAAAGUUCAUGAUAUGGAUCUGGUGGCCUUGAAGUGUUCAAGUGUAUGCCUCCAUGAUUCUCAGAUUUAUAACAACCUCUGAGCUUUUUGGUCUUUCAGGAGAAAGUUCAAUUUUUGCUGUUUGGCCUUGCAUGGAAAUGGAUGUUCUUGAAUUUCUAGGUUUUCUCUCUCUGUCUCUCUUUGUUUUGUAGAUUGAGUGUGAGCCAGCAUAUUUGAUGCCUGACUAUGGAUUGAAAACUUUUAACUAAUAAACAGCGAUGAGCAUCUAGAUCUUAUUCACGACUAAAGUCAUCGAGAGAAUUGGUAACUUUUUUAGUUAAAUUUGCUACUAAAUGGUGAUAUAAAGAUUAUUUCAGGGUCGAAAUUAGGAUAUUAUUUUCUGUAACCUUCCACCAUCUUGACAGUUUUAUGCGUUUCAGCUAGACUUACAAUUCAUCGUGUACGUAGAUGGCUCGAGGAGUGGCUGUUAAGUCAAGUGAGUGUUGUUUGUAAUUGAUUGACCUAAACCAGUUGAUGAUACGAACAUUGAUAUCUCCACGCUUGAGAAGUUUCUUCAGGAACAAAAUCAAUAUCGGCAGCAAACCUGGAGCUCUUAGUGACACCGUAAUGGAACGCGAAAGAUCACCGUUAACCUCACCACCGAUUCCAACUUCUACAAACGGUACAUCACGACUUUCAUUUCGAGUUAAUUCAAGUAUCAGACCAGAAAUAUUUGAGAAAGUAAAAUCUAUGUGAUUGCGUUGAACAAAACAGGGAUCGUUUUCUUGCAGUGAUCAGGAACAAGUGCUUAACGUUCUUCCUCUGUUUACUUAAAAGAAGAAGCCGGAUCUGUUUGAGAAGUUGCAGAAGAAAAAAAAAUGUUUUCCAUGAUGCAUAAAGAGAGAAGAGAAGCAACUACUGGCUUACCAGUCUCCAUGUAUUGUCACAAGAACUAUAAAAUUGGCGCAGCCUAGGACGCUUGCUUGGUGCCGUAAGCGGAUGUUAGUCUCAGGUUCCGGCCCUGUAGGGAUUGAUAUGUAACCAGUUGGGUAGACAUUUUAGAGUUACGGCAGAAAUUUAGGCAAGCAGUUGAAGAGCUGCUCUACAUCUUUGGCUCAGCGUUUGUCAUGGAGAAUGAAAACUCAGGUUGUUUAGUUGGAUGUGAUGAGUCUCUGAUUGCUUCAGUCUUAUGUUGAGAUGAUGCAUUUUACUUUACUUUAAAUGUUAUCUUUGGCUGAUUGAAUAAAGCAUAUAAAAAUAUCAUAUAACAUUAAUUUUUGGAUUCACGCAAAAAUGUAAUAGAAAACUUAUGGAUUUCCAGAAAAAUAUUCACUGGGCGCAUGAUGUAACACCAAUUUGUCC